rnacentral:rRNA from 1 species
GACGAACGCUGGCGGCGUGCCUAAUACAUGCAAGUGGGACGCAAGGGAACACACUGUGCUUGCACACCGUGUUUUCUUGAGUCGCGAACGGGUGAGUAACGCGUAGGUAACCUGCCUAUUAGCGGGGGAUAACUAUUGGAAACGAUAGCUAAUACCGCAUAAUAUUAAUUAUUGCAUGAUAAUUGAUUGAAAGAUGCAAGCGCAUCACUAGUAGAUGGACCUGCGUUGUAUUAGCUAGUUGGUAAGGUAAGAGCUUACCAAGGCGACGAUACAUAGCCGACCUGAGAGGGUGAUCGGCCACACUGGGACUGAGACACGGCCCAGACUCCUACGGGAGGCAGCAGUAGGGAAUCUUCGGCAAUGGACGAAAGUCUGACCGAGCAACGCCGCGUGAGUGAAGAAGGUUUUCGGAUCGUAAAGCUCUGUUGUAAGUCAAGAACGUGUGAGAGUGGAAA